rnacentral:lncRNA from 1 species
GAGAUUUUGCUAGGUCAAAGUAUCUAAUAAAGAUGUUAGUAGCUGAUAUUACAAGAGCUUAUGAUCAAAUUUUAGAGUAUAGAGAUAGUGUAAUAAAUGAAUGCAGAGGCGUGAUAUUAUUGCAAACACGAGACUCGUAUCAGUACUAAUCUUCUCGCUCAUAUACUAGCAAAUCAACGAUAGAAUAUCACCCGAAUUAUAAACGCACAGGUCUCUCUUAUGAUCAGUGUAUCAUAAAGCUUUGAAUGAAAGUCAACGCCUAAGCUGCACACAUCUACCAUCAUGGUCGUAAUGAACCUUAUACAUGUAUAAAAUGGGACCAUAAGUUGGAGACUCUUCAUCUAUAUCUCUAAGAUGACCGCUACUAGGAUAUCAAUAAUUGCGUUUGAUCCCUAUAUCUCAACUUGAUAGGAGUGAUAUUUGAAUUGUACAUACUCUAUACGCGAUAUUGAGACAAUGUAUUGAAACUCGACUAAUUUAUCACAAUGCUCGUUAUAGAGCAACACGAUAAUAACAUUUUUUGGAUAUUAUUAUAGAAGCAUUAAACAAAUUAAAAUGUAAAAAAGGAAAAAUGAAGUGAUCUUAAUAACUUCAAGAAACUCCAAAUGUGGCACAGUGUGUGGUGUAAUGUGAGCUGUUUCGAGCCCACUCAUUUGUCCACCACUCUCAGUCGCUAUUCUCUUACCGAAGUCCUCAUUAAUCUAUUUCCUUUUUUCAGUGUGUACCUGCAAACGUCACAAUUUUAUGUUCUCCUUAUAAUAUGAAAGGAUUUAUAUAAGGUUACUAUUCCAUCGUUACGACGCAAGAUGUCACAGAAUGUAAUGGCUUAAUCUUCAUCAUUUUAAAAUAUAAUGUAAAAAUUCAACAUCUAUGCAGUUACUCUGAGAAUCUACAUCAUUUGUUUAUCACUAUUACAGUGCAUAGAAGAUUAACAAUUCCAUCGAAAUCAUCUAAUCAAGCUACAUCAAGAAUACAAAAUCUCCGAAGCACUCAUACAAGCAAUAGAUUUAUUAUAUAUACUUUAUACUUUUAGUAAAUGUGUGCACGUUAAGAAUAGGCAUGCUCUAUCGUUAUCGGUAAUAUGCUCUGAAACCUUGCUUUAGGGUUAAUCAUUGCGAUGUGGAGGCUGGACUCUUGCGCGCAGAUGAAACCGCGGAGCACGAGCGACGUGGCCUCGCAGACGAGCGCGACCGCCAUGUAGUUCCGCCAGUCAACUCUGAGGCAGCAUGCUCAGAGAGGCGAACGCAUCCGAUGAAUGGGAUAUCGAGACCACAUCUGACUGACAGAGCUGAGAACGCGUGACGUAGCUCCAGUACAACAACCUGGAGCCACAGCACCGUAUGUAGGAGGGGGCAGGAGCGUUGGAAGCGUGCAACCAUAGUCGCUGGGCGGUGCAGCACGGAGUUGGAGUAUGAGAUUCCGGAUGUGAGGCGACGAGUGCAAGUACCCUUUUCCAUGGUCGCGGAUGAUUGGUCGACGAGCUGUAAUGAAGCAGAGAGGCAGAAAGAACGCGAUCGAUAGUGACAUUUUGAUGGAGAGAUACUAUCCGCAAGGAAGGGUGAGAAAGAAGGGUUUAAAGUACUGGUGCUUUGUGAUCCAACAUGAGUCGUGAGUUUUUAGGUGUCCCAAAGUCACCGUGAGUCUGAUGCGUAGAAGUAUUUAUGUCUAUUGUAAAGUACACGAAUCUCCAUACAUAUUCCGUGAGUUUAAGAUCUAUAAAGAGCGAUGAUGAGGUCUUAGAUAGGAGACACACAUAGUAGUAGAAGGCACGACUUUUAUGUUGAUAUGGUUAUUGUGAUGUUCAGAGCACUUACUCCGAUAUGCUGUAUGUAGUAGCCACUCAGCUGUAUAUCAAAUACACAAGAAAGAUAUCUAUUGAUGAGAUUGAUUAGUAACCUGUAUACGAAUAGUGCGUAACUAUUUGGUGGUUGAUCCAGUGUUCUUCUAAUAUGUUAUGUAGUGACAUAAAACUGAAAAAAUGUACAUCUAUGAUCACCACGACGCAAAGUAAAUUCGGGCAAAACCGUUAUAAUAAUGUGCAUUCAUUAUGCGAGAGUAACAUAUUUUUUUCAUAUUAUAAAUACAGGAGCAUUAGUUUUGAGGUCUUGCAUCUUUAUAUUUUAAUUUUAAAAAGUUCCUAAUAUAAUUUCGAAAUACGUUGUGUCUUUGCUUUACCAGUACGUCUUAUCUAUUAAUUGGUAGACUAUCGAGGAUUUGAAAUUUUUUAAUAGUAUUAUUAAAUAUAUAAGAUAAACAAAUAAUAUGUUCUCCAAUUUAUAUUGAUAAUGGGCCAAUUGAUUAGCCUGAUAAGUAUGUGAGAGUUAGAUACCUCGGUUUUGUGCAUAUCACGCUCUUAUUGUGAUAAUGGAAUCUAAAUAUCGACUCAUAUGGAAGCUCCAAAUGGAGUGGGAUCUCGAGUACGACAAGAUAAAUUCAUAUAUUAGAAUCUGUCAUCUAGUCGUAUCUAUUAAAUAUUCUCAAUAUUAUCUAUAGGAGUAGACGAGGAUAUCUAGACCAUAGUCGUCAGAGAUACUAUUGAUACUGGUCCUAAACGAUGUCUUUUGUGAUUUGUGAUAAUUUCUUUACAAACAUAUGAGUCAGGUAUAAGAUCAGAUCUAUUAAAGUUGCGUUAUAAAGCUGUCGUCUAUAGUAGUGUAGAAAAUCCGAACGUAAGAUAGAUCAAAUCACGUUAAUAUCAUACAGUUACGAGACGUACGUGAUCCUAUUCAUAAUUUGUGUAUAACUCGAUAGGAGUAAAAGUUGAAAAAGUAUUGGUAACAGUGUCAUCCUCGAAUCGUUGUAUAUAGUGACAUGAUCAUAUGAUACUGUAAGACAGCAACGACACUCCUACAGCCACUUGACUCCAAUUCAUAAAUUUCACCAGACUUUUUGAUUAGUCUGCCUCCGCUCCUCUACUUUGGUUGCCUUGUUUAUUAAUUUUCAUUUUCUUUCUUUUCUCUCUUCUCUCUCUAAUAUUAUUCCUCUAAACCUCCCUCACCUUUUUACCUAGCAUCACCAUACAUUAACAUCUCUCUCUCCUCCGAAAACUGCGUCCUAAAGACUUCAUUAACACACACACUCUCUCUCUCUCUCACAACAAAACCCAGAAGAAAAAAUCUCGAGACAUGAUAUUGCUCACGGGUAUGCUGUCAAAACCAUUGCUGUCGGAUUCUGGGAAAAACCCACAUCUCAAAGAAGAAAUACCAACCUCUUACCGAGUCGCAUUCCCAGGAGCGAUGAUACUCAGUCCCUCUCCCUACCUAUUCCCUCUUGGCGCUACUUCUCGUGAACGGGGUGAUAGCUCCGGUCGUCAACGUCCGUGCGAAUGCGCUCUUGGUACAACCGGAUACGAGGACUCCUGCAGAUCAUGAAGGAAUGCAAUUGAAAGUAUUGGCUGCACAUUCCGAUUUGCGGACGGAGACUCUAGUUAUCCACGACAAUUCUGUUUGCCUGACGCAGCGAGCCCCUUGGGCUCCGCAGAGAGGUGAGACAUUCGUCCUGCGAGCCGGCUCUGAAACAAUGCGGGUACCUGUGUCUCACCGGACGCGGCGUCGUGAAAGGAGAGCGAUGCUUUACAUCUUGAGACUCAGUAUCGGACAUUGAAUUGUUGUGAUAUGGAGCUGCGAUACUAUACAGAACUAUAUAGAUGAGGUGAACACGAGAAAUUGAUUUAAGUAAUGCAGAAGUGAAAAGAACUGAAAUAUAUGAUUUGCUGUGUUGGCUUUUGUGACUAUGAAUGAAUAAGUUGAUGGUUGCUCUGAGAUAAGAUAUAAAGUUUGUGCCGAUGUGUUACCGAGCGACUAUGUGUGUUAGAUACUUAAUGAGGAUGAACUUGUAUUUGAUAGAUAUUUAAUGUCUGCAGUUGAGCAGAGAUAGUUUGGAAAUGUGAUUGCUUGAUGAGUGACUAUUGGAUUGGUAAAGAGUCACAGCUUUAUAGGUGAAUCAGUGACGAAAAGUGUCUUGAAACUCGUAACACACAAUGUGGGAACAUGUGCUUGGAAUUAUGAGAGAUAUCGUGGUAAUUUUUUAAGUCUAUUAUGAUCUGGAGAUUGUUGAUAUCUGUUGAGCGCCGUCAUGAGUGUCUUCGCGUGUGAGUGAGGUGUGAGGAAGGUGUAUAGUUUAGAUAUGUGUAGAUAGAGCCACGAAACCAUCUAAAUAAUCUAUACUACAGCAUGCAUAAUGCGUAGAGAAAGUAUUUUCCGAUAUCGAACAUUGGAGCCAUCUCAUGAAUUUAGAUCUUCGUUAUUUGAGUGGUUUAGUACUGAGUUAGAUUAUCGUUGUAAUCAUGACCACUGCUGAGCUACAAAUUCGCAAUUGACUUAUGAUUUGCACUUUUUUUCGUUUGCCCUAUGUAUGCAGGUUAUUCGUUCUAUGUGAUUAAUGAGAUAUUGGCCUAGAUACGAUCUAUUGGUAAUAUGUGAUGUGGGCAACUGUUUUUCGUGCACAUACUUUUCUCUCAGGAGAGAAAUAUGAAAUUGCUAGUGAAAUCUCAUCGAUCAAAAGAACUCGUAGAGUUUUCGCUCAAAUUUGAUCGACACUGAGAUGGGAGGGGGGCGAAAGGUGAAGUCGUACACCGGAUUCCGCGCUUCCUCAGUAUUUCAUAUACUCGGAAUAUAUGGUCGGUAUCACAGUCAUGUCAUGAUGGAAUGAAUAUGGUGCGGACUAUUCUACUGUGGUUAAUACUCUUUAUCAACACUGAUAUCAUGAAAGUGCAUGGAAUUGAUCGGUAUACGAUAUGAGUUGCUUUGUUGUUUGUGUGUGUGGUGUGUUAGGUGUGUUGGUGGAGACACUAUUAUUAUGAAUUCGUUGGAAAUAGUUAUCCAUUUCAUUCUUUGGUCGUCUUCAUAAAUAGUUUUCUGAAUAGAUCAAUUUCUUCUUAUUGCAAAACCUUGUCUAAGACACUGGGUUCCACUAAUCGUGAUUUGGACAUGACUUGGUUUUAUCAGGUUUUAGGUGGUGGUUGUAAUCUCCGAGGUUCCUGUGAUAGAGCUUAUGUGAUUCUUAAGGAAUCUGAAGCAGCAGCACGUACAGUGGAUAUAGUGCGAAUACUAUUGUUUUAUGCGCUGGAUCCCAUUGUUUUUUAUGAGGGAGAGAAACCGCCUGGUAGAGAGAUUCUAGAAACAUCUGCAAGAAAGCUGCUUUCUGAGUUGCUUCAACUCAGCGAAAGGGCUGUUGACCCAUCACUUCCAAAGCCUGCUGCCAAAGCUAUUGAGAAGAAGAAAAAUUAUCCAAGUUUCAUUGGUGAUGAACUAUCUCAAGAUGUUGAAAUGAAGAGAGGAGAUUGGAUGUGUCCCAAGUAAGUCACACCAAGUUAUUGUGGUCAUCUCUUACCUUGUAUGACGUUAUGACUUGGUCAGAGGAGGUUAUCUCCUCAAGUUAGGAGGCUUUUUCCUUGUUUUGUGUUCUUUUUAUUUUGCGACAGAUGAUUAUAGUAUCCAUGUGUAUGUGUGUGUGGUUUUACUGUGGUAACACUAUAUCAGCGACAUAUAGUCAUAUCCAUUCCCCUUUCCUGUGAAUUUUGUGAAAUAUCCACAGUUGGAGCUUGUAUACUUUAUUUCAGGAAUGAUUGUCAUGCUUGGUAUAUUGAUAUUAUAAAACUUAGUUACUGGAAUUGUUUGCUGACUCUUCUAGUCAGUUGUACUGUUUUAUUCACUUGCUGCAGUUAGUACCAUACUAGUUUCAUGGUUUGCUGUUGUUAUCUUGUUGCAGGUGCAAUUUUAUGAACUUUGCUAAAAAUUUAAGAUGCCUACAAUGUAAAGAAGAUGGCCCAAGAAAAGCUGACACGGGUGAUCUCGAAAUCGAAAUGAAAAAGGGAGACUGGAUCUGCACUGAGUAAGCCACUUCUUUUGCAUGAGUGCUUACCUUGUAAUCAGUUUUUUUUUUCAGUGUGUUGCUGUUAUCAGUUUUUUACCGAAUUAUGAUUCUUCCCUAGGCUACCACCAUAUGCUUGUGUUCCGAGUUUGACAUAUCUUUACUGGUUGCGUUUUGUUACAGGUGCAGUUUCAUGAACUUCUCUAGAAAUAUACGCUGCCUAAAGUGCAAAGCUGAAGGGCCAAAGAGCGUUGGUGUACAUGCAGUUGAAAUGAAGAAAGGAGACUGGACCUGCCCAAAGUAAGUCUUCUUUUUGUCCUGACAACCAACAUAGUUCAGCAACUCUAAAUUAUUUAAACUGAGUGCGCUAAUUGUUUCCCAAGUAAAGUUCUAUUUGAUCACUUAGCUUAUGUUCUUCAGGUGUGCAUUCAUGAAUUUUGCAAGCAAUAGGAAGUGUUUGCGUUGUCAAGAUCCACGGCCCAAGAAAAAUCCUGCAGACUGGGACUGCCCCUCGUAAGCCUCUCUUCCUCUUUCUUUGUUUGUGUGUGUGUGGGGUGUGGUUUAGAUUUAAUAUUAAUGUUAACUGGAUAUUUACAAGAUGAUUUUGUAUACUGCAGAUGUGAUUUCAUGAAUUAUGGUAGAAACGCAGUUUGCCUGAAGUGCAACUGUAAACGCCCUCAAGAAGAAACUACUGAGUACGAGGAGCAGAUGUGGAGGCGUCCACGCUAGUGUGUUGUUAAUAGGAACAAAGGCAUUGUUUUCAAUGAAGAUAUGCGCGUAACAUGCUUACGGUAAAUGUUGAUGUUAUAAGUUAUAACCACCCCCACAUUACUAUCUAUAUUUCUAUAUUUCUCCCUUAAACAUGUUUAAGUCUAUCAAUUUAGUCCCUUAUCUUAAGUAAUCCUAGACUUUGAUCUAGAUUCCUCAUUUCUCCUAAACUGCCAAGUGGCAGCUCCCUAGCUCUCUUCUCUUUUCUCUCUUCCCGAGUCCUCCCUCUCAGACAUCUCUCUUUCUCUCUCAGAAACUCUCACUUUCUAUCUAAAGCUCCGAGAAGAGAUCACCCAUUCCAUUGACAAAUCAAACUUACAAAUUCAUUUCUAAAACCCUUUCGACUUUAGGAACCCAACUAGGUCCCUGCAUGCACCUUCGACUCACUGUGAGCAAUUUCACCAUUAGCACCGAGAGCUUCAAGCUCCAACUUUGAGUCUCAGGUGAGGUUCUUCCCUAUUUUCUUUUAAAUUUCUGGGUUUGCAUGUUGGUUUUAUGACUCCGUGUGAAAAUCAAAGUUUGAACCUUGUGGUUUUUCUGUGUUCUAAACCCCAGAAUCCGGCGAUAAAAUCCGUCGAAGCUCGUACACAAACCUAGCCAUUCUCAACCACGGUUGAGACUCACGGUGGUAUAUUCUCGUUCCUAUCACUUCAGCUGUGCUGUUCUCUUCAUUUUGGUGUUUAUUUGGAGCUUGGUUUACACGUUCAUCAUCGGCCGAAGCUGUAGCAGCUCCAGCGUUCUACCCCGACCACCCUGCAGGCCAUCAGGCCAGUUCAAGCCACCCACGGGCCUUAGCCCGUAUUUGGACCAGCCCAGCUUUCUUUUUUUUUUUGGUUAUUUGGCCUACGGGCCAUGCCUUGCAUGGGCCGAGUGUGUGGGCUGAGUGUAUGUGUGUUGUGUGUGUGUUAUGCCAUGCGUGUGUGUAGGUGUGUGCGUGUACUGUGUGUGUAUGGUGUGUGUGUGUCCGUGUGAGUGUGUGUGUGUGUGUGUAAGCGUGUGUGAGUGUGUGUGGUGCACGUGUGUGUGUGUGUGUGUGUCCGUGUGAGUGUGUGUGUGUGUGUGGGGGGGGGGGGGAACCACCCUUUUUCACCCUAACCCUUUUUAACUAAAACCUUAGGACCCAAAACCCAAAAUCUUUCCUAGGCCAACUUCGAUGUUCUGAAUCCGUUUUUGGCGUCCAUUUCCUGGAAUUCUAUCGUUUGGGCAUAGUUUGAUAAAUUGGACAUUUUUGUGCUUAGGUGAAGUUGCUAGUGGGGAUUUCCUUAAUCCUUUUCCGCACAACUCUGCUACUACAGAGUAUGUGUGAGUGGCCUCUUUCUAAAAUUUGCAUAAUUUUAUAGUUUACUUGCAUAAAUGAAAUGCAUGGCUUACGAGUUUAUGAACUGAUUUUAUGUUAAGCAUGUUUAUUGAAAUGUUGAUUUUUGUCUCGUUAUUUUGUAAGGAAUUAAUUGUUGGCCUAUAUUGAGCUAUAUUUUAAUAUAUCGUAUUUUCUAUAAAAACCAUGAACUGGUAGACUAUCUGAUGGAUGACGAUAGGAUGCUAGAACAUGUUUUCAAAACCCAUUUUUAUAGUAUAGACGAUGGAUGGUUUUAUACUAUGAAGUCGUUAUAUUUGAGAGGCGUAAUUAUUUGUGCCUACCUAGUGGACACUAUGCCACCUGGGGAGAGGAUCUGGUGUUGGCAGUUAGGCCGGGAGAAAUAAUCCCUAACUACGGGCUGAGGGACACGGAGCAGGCAUUGGGCCGGGAGUUGGAAAUCUUUGGCUACGAGCAGAGACCACGGUGCUGGCAUAGGGCCAGGAGGUAUAUUUAUUCAGUGAUCUUACUGGCAGCACACCGUGCUUACGAGACGAUCUGUGAGACGAUUGAUGUUUUGAUUUCCACGAUGUUUUUCCGUGCUAUGUCUUUUGAGAUGUUUUUGGCAUGCUAGGGUUUUCAGUAAAAGUUUUGGGAGAGACAGGUAUAACAUGGCUCACUGACCUUUUCAAUAGGAUUUUGAAAACGAAGAAGAUGCCAAAUGAGUGGCGAACGAGCACUUUGGUGCCUAUCUACAAGAAUAAGGGUGACGUACAAAAUUGCAUGAACUAUAGGGGUAUUAAGCUAAUGAGUCAUACAAUGAAGCUCUGGGAGAGAGUCAUUGAGCAUAGAUUGAGGCAAGAGACACGGGUUUCGGACAACCAAUUCGGGUUCAUGCCAGGGCGCUCAACCAUGGAGGCAAUCUAUCUCUUACGAAAAUUGAUGGAAAGAUAUAGAGAUGGGAAAAAGGAUUUACACAUGGUCUUUAUAGAUUUGGAAAAAGCGUAUGAUAGGGUCCCAAGAGACAUUCUUUGGAGGAUUUUAGAAAAGAAAGGAGUACGAGUAGCAUAUAUCCAAGCUAUAAAGGAUAUGUAUGAAGGAGCAAAGACUGCCGUAAGAACUCAUGAAGGACAAACCGAAAGCUUUCCCAUAACUGUAGGAUUACAUCAAGGCUCAUCCUUAAG